UCGUGUCUGCGAGUGAGAAAGAGCAGUUACUGUCCAGGCUUGGCGCGAGCCGUUCCGAGCGGUCCCUUUCUUGCCCUUAGUUCUUCUGCACUAGAAUGGAUGUGUCUGGCCACUGUCCCUCACUUGGUCCCGCCUUCAUCCGGCCCUGACCCUCUCUGCCCAAGGCUGCCCCGCCAGCCUGGAAGCCAGCCACCACCCAGCCCCAACCCCUGUUGCAAGCUCACGACAGGAAGAAGCUGGCUUUGCUCUUGGAGGUGCUGAGAAAUUGAAGGCGUGCAAAAGCUGGACCCGCCAAAAUUUCGAGCUGGAAGCCCUGUACCGGAGAAAGCAGCCCUAAGGGAAUCCAUCCACGCGGGUCCAGGCUUAUGAAGCUGCGCCUGGUUUGCAAGAGGCAGGACCCAGCAAGGCCCACUCGGUUCUUCUUGUCUCGGAAUCCACGCCACAAGCUCCAGGGAAGGGGCCGGGAUCUGAUGGGAAGAGGCACAGAAAACAAAGCAGGCAUGAGGUGUCUCUGAGAGGAAGGGUGCAGGUUCAAAUGCUAACUCCCCUAAUUGGGAAUCUCCCCUUGGUCUUUCUCUGCUUCACCUGCCUUGGUCAUAAAACACAGGGGUAAAUAGCCAGGCGUCGGUGGUGCACGCCUUUAAUCCCAGCACUCGGGAGGCAAAGCAAGACGGAUCUCUGUGAGUUCGAGACCAGCCAGGUCUACAGACCGAGUUCCAGGACAGCCUCCAAAACAAUAGAGAAACCCUGUCUCACAAAAACAAACAAAAACCAAACAAACCCCCCAAACAUAGGGAUAAUGCUUUAGCCACUCCCCAGGCAUUGAGAGGCCACAUAGCACCUGGCACGUGGUAUUGAAAUAGAGUCUAGACAAAGCAUGCCUUCUUCUUCUAACAGCUGUAUGGAAGAGCUUUUCUUCCCCAUUUUCCUGAUGAGGAAACCGAGGAAGACCUGGGAGGCGGGGAGACACCCACCUGAUAAUCAUCCCCUUCAUACCUGCGCCCAGGUGGGGCCUGUCCUGGUCUUUCCAGAGCAGAGUCCCACCCUGAUGAGAUGGGGGCGUGUCCACGCCUCUGGCCAAGAGGAAGGCGGGACCUGCUCACUCACCCUUCUCUCUUCUGUCCCUGCUCCAUCUGGGCACCUACCUC